GUGAGGGCAGGAAUACAGGGUACGGGUACCAGGGUCCACCCCAGACACACUGUCUGACACUCCUUCCUCCUCCCCAG
ensembl:miRNA